UACAUCGGAACGUGUCCUGUAGUGGGGGAUAGCCCGGCGAAAGCCGGAUUAAUACCGCAUACGCUCUACGGAGGAAAGGGGGGGAUCUUAGGACCUCCCGCUACAGGGGCGGCCGAUGGCAGAUUAGCUAGUUGGUGGGGUAAAGGCCUACCAAGGCGACGAUCUGUAGCUGGUCUGAGAGGACGACCAGCCACACUGGGACUGAGACACGGCCCAGACUCCUACGGGAGGCAGCAGUGGGGAAUUUUGGACAAUGGGGGCAACCCUGAUCCAGCAAUGCCGCGUGUGUGAAGAAGGCCUUCGGGUUGUAAAGCACUUUUGUCCGGAAAGAAAACGCCGUGGUUAAUACCCGUGGCGGAUGACGGUACCGGAAGAAUAAGCACCGGCUAACUACGUG
rnacentral:rRNA from 1 species